AGAAGCUUAUGCGGUAAAUAGGGAAAAAACACUCGGUUCGACUCUUUGGCUUCGACCUUCAACAGACGAAGAAAAAAAAAACCCCUCGUUCGCGACCUGUCUUCUUACACGACGGCGUGCGGAGCGCCGAAACCAACACCGUCUCCGACUCUCCGUUGUUCGUUCUGCUUGUUCGCGAAGCAAGAAGCCAACAUCGUCUCCUCGGCGUGCCUGAUCGUUCACGAAGCCAAGGCCAAACAUUGCGUCAUUCUGGUUUAAAGGCCAACUAUAGUUGGGGAUUGGGACUGGAGGGAACUGAGGCCCAAGCCCUAACCUUGUAUGUCUUCCUCCAACAAUGGCGCAUUCUUCCACUACUCGUGAUUUUCACUCUUCUCCCAUCUCUGCAUCCAAUGCAUCUGAUGUCUCCGAUAACAAUCUCCAGCAUUUCUUUGUUCUCCACAAGGCUCCGGCUCGGAAAUGCGAAAGAAAAAGCUCCUCAACAUACCGGAGAACGAAAAGAAAGAUCGAUAUGUUGCUUUCUUCUCCAAUGAAAGUCGCGCAAGAAGAGAAUGAUGCUACCUACGAGCAGCUUCGCCUAGAAGCCUUUGAAAAUACUUGGUCGAAGAUUAAUUCUACUGUCAAGGAAGUUUCAAGGGAGAUCAACCUUACUUUGUUCGAGGAAAUACACCAGUGGGUUUUUGAAUCGUUCUCCACCAUCAGAUCCACUAGUCCUGUUCAUAUAAUGAAGCCAUAUCCGAUAGCAGCAGGGGCCACAUGUAAAAGAAUACCAGCGGCACUGAUCUUUACAAAGAAUAUUGAGUUUGUUGAUGAUAUGCUGAUGUUUCAAGAUCUCAAAGGGUAUAUGCAGUCUAAUGGGUGUCAUGCAGCUUUUCUCUCAGCAUUGGAUAUCUCCACAAAGUGUGGUAUCGGAAGUUGCCUAAGAAGUUUAUAUAAACAACUUGUUCCAGAGGCUUCAGAUGUUGUUGAUGUACCGUUAAUAGCCUCAUGGUAUUGCAAAGAUGAGAAUUAUGAUAAGCCAAUUGCUGUUAUAAUUGAAGACAUGGAGCGAUGUGAUAGUGCAGUCCUGGCUGAUUUUAUUAAAAUGCUAAGUGAAUGGGUGAUGAAAAUUCCAAUCAUUUUCAUACUGGGAGUGACUACUUCUUUUGAUGCCCUGAGAAAACUUCUCCCGUCAAGUGUCAUGCACAACUUGCAGCUUUGUAAGUUCACUCUGGAAUCUCCCAUAAGGAGAAUGGAUUCUCUGAUUGAGAAUAUUCUCGUAAGAUCAUCUUCUGGGUUCUUUAUUGGCCACAAGGUUGCAUUAUUCUUGAGAAACUAUUUCCUUAGACAUGAUGGAACGAUAACCUCAUUUUUAAAGGCAUUGAAGCUUGCUUGCAUUAAACACUUUAGUGGGGAACCUUUAAGUUUUUUGUGCCCGGGCAUGCUUCAUGAAGAUUGUGAGGCUCUAAUUGGGGAUCCGAGAAGUGUCAUACAUGAUGACCUUUUGAAAUCCGAUGAGUAUCUUCAGAGCACCUCCUGUAGUAAAAGAGAGCAUGUCUUAUCCUCUUCCAUCCAUGAUACUGCUAUCAUGUAUAGUCUUGCCCAAGAGUAUGGUGACCUAAUCAACCUCCAUGACUGGUAUCAUUCUUUCAAAACAAAAAUACUUAUCUCUAACCCUAAAGCCAAGCGUAAGGCCCAGCAUUCUCCUACUUCUAAAAAGGGGAAAUCUAAAGCACUGGAGAAUGAAGUGUCCAUCCAAGCAAGGUUUUGCAAAGCAGUCACAGAGCUUCAAAUUACUGGCCUAGUUCGGAUGCCGAGCAAGAGAAGACCAGAUUUUUUGCAAAGAAUUGUGUUUGACCUCUAGUCCAUUGAAGUAUUUGCAAGAUAUAUUAAAUUAAAAGCCAACUUCAUAGUAAGUGAAUCUCUUACUGUCAGUUCUCAAUUUCUCUGUCGAUGCCAGAUGUAACUGGAACUAUCUAUUUCUUGUCAGGAUAAGGCUAUGUAUUCAACCUUUCCUCAGAUUUCAAAUUAGAAAGAAGGUUCAUGCAUUAGGUAAUCCCUUUUUUAAUUUGUAAAGGCAUCAUAAACUACUCAUAACUUCUAUUAUUGUAGAAAAUUUUUUAUUUUUGUAUUAAAAAGCAGUUUUAAGAAACAAGAAGAAAGCUAUUCCAAACGAAGCCUUAGUUCACACUAAUUUUGUGUGGAUUUUAUCAUUUGAUAUACUAUCAAUUCAGUUGGCGUGAUUCUGGCAAGUGAUUAUAAUA